AGGCUUGAGCCUAUAUUCUUUUAAAAAAAUCGGGCCUAAGCUCGGUCCGAAGUUCGAAAAAAUUAUUUCAGGUCGAGCUCGAGUAGGGCUAGGAUCCAAUCUGGCUUGGCCCAGUUUCAACCCUAUUUGCCAGGCAGCCCAAGCUCGGUCCGUAGGGAUCCUGGGCUGAAAUUACAAGCUCGACCAAGAAAAAUUGAGCCAGCGAAUCUAAGCCCGAUAAUUUGACCCAACAA
rnacentral:lncRNA from 1 species